UACAGAGGGUGCAAGCGUUGUUCGGAAUUAUUGGGCGUAAAGCGCGUGUAGGCGGCUUUGCAAGUCGGGUGUGAAAGCCCUCAGCUUAACUGAGGAAGUGCGCCCGAAACUGCUGGGCUUGAGUUCUGGAGAGGAAGGCGGAAUUCUCGGUGUAGAGGUGAAAUUCGUAGAUAUCGAGAGGAACACCGGUGGCGAAGGCGGCCUUCUGGACAGUGACUGACGCUGAGACGCGAAAGCGUGGGGAGCAAACAGG
rnacentral:rRNA from 1 species